rnacentral:rRNA from 1 species
AACGAACGCUGGCGGCGUGCCUAACACAUGCAAGUCGAACGGGAUUGAGGGGCUUGCUCCUCAAUUUAGUGGCGCACGGGUGAGUAACGCGUAGAUAAUCUGCCUGACGAUCUGGGAUAACACUUCGAAAGGGGUGCUAAUACCGGAUAAGCCCACGGGGACUUUGGUCUUUGCGGGAAAAGGGGGGGACUUUUUGGCCUUCUGUCGUCAGAUGAGUCUGCGUACCAUUAGCUAGUUGGUAGGGUAAAGGCCUACCAAGGCUACGAUGGUUAGCUGGUCUGAGAGGAUGAUCAGCCACACUGGAACCGAGACACGGUCCAGACUCCUACGGGAGGCAGCAGUGGGGAAUUUUGCGCAAUGGGCGAAAGCCUGACGCAGCAACGCCGCGUGAGUGAUGAAGGCUUUCGGGUCGUAAAGCUCUGUCGAGGGGAAAGAAGUGUAUUAUGGUUAAUACCCAAGAUACUUGACGGUACCCCUAAAGGAAGCACCGGCUAACUCCGUGCCAGCAGCCGCAGUAAGAC